rnacentral:rRNA from 1 species
ACAGAGGGGGCAAGCGUUAUUCGGAAUUACUGGGCGUAAAGGGCUCGUAGGCGGCCAACUAAGUCAGACGUGAAAUCCCCAGGCUCAACUUGGGAACUGCGUCUGAUACUGGAUGGCUUGAAUUCGGGAGAGGGAUGCAGAAUUCCAGGUGUAGCGGUGAAAUGCGUAGAUAUCUGGAGGAAUACCGGUGGCGGAGGCGGCAUCCUGGACCGACAUUGACGCUGAUGAGCGAAAGCUAGGGGAGCAAACAGGA